GCGGCAGACGGGUGAGUAACGCGUGGGAAUCUACCUUUUGCUACGGAAUAACUCAGGGAAACUUGUGCUAAUACCGUAUGUGCCCUUCGGGGGAAAGAUUUAUCGGCAAAGGAUGAGCCCGCGUUGGAUUAGCUAGUUGGUGAGGUAAAGGCUCACCAAGGCGACGAUCCAUAGCUGGUCUGAGAGGAUGAUCAGCCACACUGGGACUGAGACACGGUCCAGACUCCUACGGGAGGCAGCAGUGGGGAAUAUUGGACAAUGGGCGCAAGCCUGAUCCAGCCAUACCGCGUGGGUGAAGAAGGCCUUCGGGUUGUAAAGCCCUUUUGUUGGGAAAGAAAUCCAGCCGGCUAAUACCUGGUUGGGAUGACGGUACCCAAAGAAUAAGCACCGGCUAACUUCGUGCCAGCAGCCGCGGUAAUACGAAGGGUGCAAGCGUUACUCGGAAUUACUGGGCGUAAAGCGUGCGUAGGUGGUUGUUUAAGUCUGUUGUGAAAGCCCUGGGCUCAACCUGGGAACUGCAGUGGAAACUGGACAACUAGAGUGUGGUAGAGGGUAGCGGAAUUCCCGGUGUAGCAGUGAAAUGCGUAGAGAUCGGGAGGAACAUCCAUGGCGAAGGCAGCUACCUGGACCAACACUGACACUGAGGCACGAAAGCGUGGGGAGCAAACAGGAUUAGAUACCCUGGUAGUCCACGCCCUAAACGAUGCGAACUGGAUGUUGGGUGCAAUUUGGCACGCAGUAUCGAAGCUAACGCGUUAAGUUCGCCGCCUGGGGAGUACGGUCGCAAGACUGAAACUCAAAGGAAUUGACGGGGGCCCGCACAAGCGGUGGAGUAUGUGGUUUAAUUCGAUGCAACGCG
rnacentral:rRNA from 1 species